CCUGCCCCUCCAGUAGGGCCUGCUGCUGCCUCCUCAGCUGGAAUAACCUUCGGAAGGCAUCAGCUGAUGGUGAAGCAAGCCUGUGUAUGCCAGAAAUCCCCGGAAGCGGAGGCAGGAGGAUCUCGAGUCAAGAGGACCUGGGUUCGGUUCCCAACGCCAACAAGCAUCUGCCUACCACACCAGUGCCACUGGAUCUAAUGCCUUCUUCUGCUCUGAGGGCUGCUGCACACAUGAUACACAUGAGCUCACACACAAGUACACAUGCUAGCCCUAGCCUGCCUUCAGCAACUCAGCGCCAGCGGCCAUAUCAUCGCCAGCCCCCAAAUGUGACACCUGUACCCUUCAAAGCAUCCCCACCUUCAUAGCCCACUGUCUGUCCCCUGGUCUGUCUGUCUUUGUCUGUCUCUCACUCUCUGUCUCUUCCCCCUCCAUCCUCCCUCAGAGGCAGCCUCUGAACACCCACACGUACAAUAAAUCUCUCUCAUAAAA